UUGAACUCAUCGAGACAGAGAUUCACUGCC
rnacentral:piRNA from 1 species